AUUCACUGGAUUCCCUAAGUAAAUCUUGCAGUAGGCUUGUGUGAUUUGAAUACAUUGUUUAGACUGCAAGUCAGCUGCUUAAAGGCUUAAGGUUCUGACAUGAAGAAGGACUCUGGGUUGUCCUUUCACACAGAAUCCAGCCUGUUCAUAAAGACUGGAAGUUUGCUUGCUGAAAGCAUCAUGUUGGGUUAGUUCCUUAACUCAGACUCACAUUAUGAAAUAUGACCCAUCAAAAUAUUGCCAUAACCUUAGAAAGCUGGAGUCAGACUUGACAAAUGCCGUUCCUGUUUCUGAGCUUGCUUGGCACUUGGAAGAGAGAGGUGACAGCAUAAACCCGAAGCGGAAAGGAGAGUCACCUGCAGUGAAGAAGCCACCUAAAAAACUGAGGCAGCUGGGCAGUGAGGCUUUGAAUGGAACAGUAGUUCUCCCCUCUGGGUGCCGGUCAAAUUCAAAAACCACAAGCUCACCACAACUAGAUCAACGAUCAAAAUGUAAACCCAAAGGGAAGUCUAAAUUGCCUCCAUUGAGGAGUCUUAAUAGUAAAGUAUCUGGGAGAGGCAUAUUACCAGAUGAAAGCAAUGUUUCUGGUGUUACACUUCAAAAUAAUACGAGUGUUUCUGAGAGUGAUAUUGAUUCUGAAGAGGAAAUCAGAGCCAUGGUAGAGAGAGAAGUACAUAAAGCUGAAACUGGCAAGGCUGAAAGUGACCACUUGGAAAUUGCUGGGGACAAUUUUGAAUUAAAAUACAGUAGUUACUGGUCCUUAAGCAAUCCAGAUGCCAUGAAGCAAGCUAUCAAAGGAAGCUUUAGAGAGAAAAAGAUAAUGGAAUGUGAUAAUGGUUAUCAGUCAGCAGAUACAGAUGAAAUUAUUGCUAAAAGUAAAACUCCACAUCUACAUAACAAGAACUCUACAGUUUUAGAUGAUUGUAAACCGGUGAAGGUGGAAAAUGAAGACAUCUUAACUGAGAAAAAAAGUGAUUUUGUAAAUAAAUCCUCAGUAAAAACUCAUAAUUUAAAAGAAUAUGUGGAAAAAAAAGGCAAAAAGAAAAAAUCCCAAACUGCUGCCUUGCAGAGCACAGCAGGUAACAGUGCAACAAAGACAAGUGAUAGUGAAAGCUCUUGUUCAGAUCCUGAGAAAGAGGAGUCUGAAAGCAGUUUAGAUUAUGAAUGCAUGAUGCAAAACUGUUACCACUUAGACAUUACAUUGGAUGACUUACAAGCAUUAGCUACUGCAACACGUGGAGAAGAAUUAGACAUUACAUGGAGCUCUAGUCAGUGUGGUGUUGAAGAAUAUCCUAAGGGUAACGUUGGAAAUAAAACAAAGCUUUCAAAAUUUUGCCCUGCAGUUAGGAAAAAAUGUAUCUGUCCUGAAGAUAUAGUUGCUGCGAUUUUGGCAGGGGAGGAUGCUGCUGAUGAAGCAAGUUUCAAGGAACAAAAUAAUUUGCAUUUGAAAUAUCAGCCCUUCAGAGGAUUGGGGUCCCUUUGUGAAAAAGAGUUACCCAGGGACAGCACUGGUUUAGAGAAGAGGUUUGUAGAAAGAUUAGAUCUUGAAGCUUGUGUUUCCUCCUGUGGGGAGGAGUCAUCUCAAAGACAGCGAAAGAACCAUCAAGUGUAUUCAGUUGAACUCAGCAGUAAAAAGCAACAAAAUGCGCGUUGUGAACUGCACGAGGAACUGUCACAUGCUGCGUCAUUUGCAGACGAGAGAGGUCAGCCUGUGUUCAGGCUGCACUUGCAAGGAAAGAACAAAGAUGCAAGUUCUGCACGAUCCAAGCAAUGCUCAGAGCAUGGAGAUGCUGCUGCUCGUACUCUUCAGAGUGAAGACCCGAGCAGCAACAUGGAUAGUAAUGCUGCAGUGUCACAGAAACACACUGAACAACUGAAAAGCCCCAGACUACUUUCAAAACAAUCGAAGCAGGAUGUAAGCAAUCCAAAUCCAGAAUGUGAAGCUGAUAAACGUGAGGAUGGGAAGAGAAGCUUUCUGGAAAAUAAAGAGCUUUGUUUUCAUGCUAGUGCUUCAAAGGAACGUAGACCAGAAAAGAAACAGUUGCAGGAUAACCAAAGGAGGCUAGCAGCUCUGGGGGAGAGACAGAGAGAGAGAGAGUUACAGAAGAAACUCAUUCAAGGAGCUCUCUCCAAUCUGGAUAGCCAGCCAGCAGGCAAGCAUAAACACGUGAUAUUUCAUUCAGAUGUGGAAAGUGAAGCUGAAGUAGAUGAGACAUUGAAGAAAGAUGCCAGUUUGGGAAAUAUGCAUGAGGACGAUGGAUCUGCUCCUAAAACCUUGGGCAGACUGUUUGACAGCAGUGAGGAUGAGCAAGAUGAUGUGGAUGCUGAGAGAUUCAAAAUUAAGCCCCAGUUUGAAGGCAAAGCUGGUGAAAAACUCUUGAAAUUGCAGUCACGACUUGGCACGGAUGAAAGAUUCCGCAUGGACGCUCGAUUCCUUGAAAGUGACAGUGAAGAAGAAGAGACAAGCAUCUUGAAGGCAGAUGAGGAAGAAGAGCUUGCUGCAGAGAAAAAGAAAAAUCUGGAAAUCCUGGGAAGUCUCUUGAAUGUCAACCUGGAACACCCUAAGCUGACGAAGAAGGCCACAAGUGCUAAGAAAUUCAGAGAUAUUAAUGCCCUCCGCUAUGAUCCCACAAGAGAGGACCAUGUAGUUUUUGAAAGGAAACGAAGUGCUACAGAACAAGAGAGUAAAGCUAAAAGGAAGAGGGAGAGGGAAGAGAGUGAGAAACUGCCAGAAGUGUCUCAAGAAACGUAUUAUGACAUUGCUGUUGAUUUAAAAGAGUUGUUUGGCUCUUCAAAGAGCAAAUCACACAACAAUGAAGAAACACCCUGGGACAAAGAUGAUGCGGAGGACUCUACCCCACCUGACCACUUGGGACCUAAUGUCAGGAGUAACGUAGCUGAGGAGUCUGGUGGUUUCAAGUUUUCCUUCUUUGGAGAUACGGAGGAGUCAGGCAUGAAAGGAGAGCCCUACAUACUUGAAACAAUAAAACCUGUGAAAGUCAAAUGGCAAGAAGAUCCACGUUUCCAAGACAGCAGUUCUGAGGGUGAUGAUGAACCAGAGGCAUCAGAAAGCAAAAGGGACAAAGAAAUGCAAGUUUUAUUUGUAGUUGUUGUCUACUUGGUUGUGGUGGGUUGAUACUAUGGGAACAUUAAUAACAGCACCUGGCUCACGGGGAGACUGACAUCUUCAUUCCACAUCUCUGGACAAGUGCAGUCGCCUGUGGAAAGCAUUCCUUGCUUCACAGAAUGUAGUAGUCAAAAAUGCCAAUGCCACACGUGAUUGUUGAGAAGAAAAGCUGACUUUCUAGCUCAGUGAGGAGAACUCAGCUGGGUAGUGGGCUUGGCCCAAAGUCAAAUCGCAUGUGAUGUUUUCUUCAGAAAGGUUUUUUUAUAGGAGGUUGUAUUGGGUUACUGUGGUAUAGUGUCCUGCCCGAGAUACUAUUUCUCUGGAGCCUUACAGCCUUGCAGCUUGAACUUGGGCUAAUGGAAUUUAACACUAACUCUUACGAUGCUGAAUUUCCUUUGUGUUUUUUUCUAGUUUUUUCUCUUUACCACAGACAGAACGUGCUAGAUCUUUCUUCUUCUCCAAAGAUGAUGAACGCCUAAGAGAGGGCCCGAAGUUAUUUUGUAAAUCGGUAGACCUCAGUGAAGAAAGAGAUGGUUGGGAAGACAGGCGUAGAUUAUUGCUUGAGGAAUGCCGGAGGAAGCAUAAGGAUGCAAGAAGGAAAGUGAAAGCAAAACAAUAAAUAUUUCUGAUCUUACUGGUCAGAUAAGACCAGUUUUGUGGUUUUUUUCUUUGGAGAAGUUGCAGAAGAAAUUUA